rnacentral:tRNA from 1 species
GGGGAUGUGGCGGAACGGCAGACGCGCUGGCUUCAGGAGCCAGUGGUCGCAAGACCAUGAGAGUUCGAAUCUCUCCAUCCCCA